rnacentral:rRNA from 1 species
AGACCCGAAACCCGGUGAUCUAGCCAUGGGCAGGUUGAAGGUUGGGUAACACUAACUGGAGGACCGAACCGACUAAUGUUGAAAAAUUAGCGGAUGACCUGUGGCUGGGGGUGAAAGGCCAAUCAAACCGGGAGAUAGCUGGUUCUCCCCGAAAGCUAUUUAGGUAGCGCCUCGUGAAUUCAUCUCCGGGGGUAGAGCACUGUUUCGGCUAGGGGGCCAUCCCGGCUUACCAACCCGAUGCAAACUGCGAAUACCGGAGAAUGUUAUCACGGGAGACACACGGCGGGUGCUAACGUCCGUCGUGAAGAGGGAAACAACCCAGACCGCCAGCUAAGGUCCCAAAGUCAUGGUUAAGUGGGAAACGAUGUGGGAAGGCCCAGACAGCCAGGAUGUUGGCUUAGAAGCAGCCAUCAUUUAAAGAAAGCGUAAUAGCUCACUGGUCGAGUCGGCCUGCGCGGAAGAUGUAACGGGGCUAAACCAUGCACCGAAGCUGCGGCAGCGACGCUCAGGCGUUGUUGGGUAGGGGAGCGUUCUGUAAGCCUGUGAAGGUGGCCUGUGAGGGUUGCUGGAGGUAUCAGAAGUGCGAAUGCUGACAUAAGUAACGAUAAAGCGGGUGAAAAGCCCGCUCGCCGGAAGACCAAGGGUUCCUGUCCAACGUUAAUCGGGGCAGGGUGAGUCGACCCCUAAGGCGAGGCCGAAAGGCGUAGUCGAUGGGAAACGGGUUAAUAUUCCCGUACUUGGUGUUACUGCGAAGGGGGGACGGAGAAGGCUAUGUUGGCCGGGCGACGGUUGUCCCGGUUUAAGCGUGUAGGUGUGUGUUCCAGGUAAAUCCGGUUCACUUUAACACUGAGGCGUGACGACGAGGCACUACGGUGCUGAAGCAACAAAUGCCCUGCUUCCAGGAAAAGCCUCUAAGCAUCAGGUAACAUCAAAUCGUACCCCAAACCGACACAGGUGGUCAGGUAGAGAAUACCAAGGCGCUUGAGAGAACUCGGGUGAAGGAACUAGGCAAAAUGGUGCCGUAACUUCGGGAGAAGGCACGCUGACACGUAGGUGAAGUGAUUUACUCAUGGAGCUGAAGUCAGUCGAAGAUACCAGCUGGCUGCAACUGUUUAUUAAAAACACAGCACUGUGCAAACACGAAAGUGGACGUAUACGGUGUGACGCCUGCCCGGUGCCGGAAGGUUAAUUGAUGGGGUCAGCGCAAGCGAAGCUCCUGAUCGAAGCCCCGGUAAACGGCGGCCGUAACUAUAACGGUCCUAAGGUAGCGAAAUUCCUUGUCGGGUAAGUUCCGACCUGCACGAAUGGCGUAAUGAUGGCCAGGCUGUCUCCACCCGAGACUCAGUGAAAUUGAACUCGCUGUGAAGAUGCAGUGUACCCGCGGCAAGACGGAAAGACCCCGUGAACCUUUACUAUAGCUUGACACUGAACAUUGAGCCUUGAUGUGUAGGAUAGGUG